rnacentral:misc_RNA from 1 species
GAUAAGAACGCAGCGAAAUGCGAUAAGUAGUGUGAAUUGCAGAAUUCAGUGAAUCAUCGAAUCUUUGAACGCACAUUGCGCCCUUUGGUAUUCCAAAGGGCAUGCCUGUUCGAGCGUCAUUUGUACCCUCAAGCUUUGCUUGGUGUUGGGCGUCUUGUCUCUAGCUUUGCUGGAGACUCGCCUUAAAGUAAUUGGCAGCCGGCCUACUGGUUUCGGAGCGCAGCACAAGUCGCACUCUCUAUCAGCAAAGGUCUAGCAUCCAUUAAGCCUUUUUUUCAACUUUUGACCUCGGAUCAGGUAGGGAUACCCGCUGAACUUAAGCAUAUCAAUAAGCGGAGGA